UAUGCGCCACCUCCCUAAACUCAUUUUCAGAAGAUUAAAUACAUUAGUUAUUCUCCAUUAGAGGUCACGAGUUCAACUUCUUGCAAAAACAAAAAAAAAUGGAAUAUUUAUUCUCUAUUGAAAGUCGAUAAAAAAAAUUUAAGAACUAAUUUAAUUCCUAUGAAAAUGAAAAGAAUUUUUAGUCUCUUAAUAAAAGUGAUAACAUUAUC
rnacentral:lncRNA from 1 species